rnacentral:rRNA from 1 species
GUGCCAGCCGCCGCGGUAAUACGAAGGGGGCUAGCGUUGUUCGGAAUCACUGGGCGUAAAGCGCACGCAGGCGGAUCGUUAAGUCAGGGGUGAAAUGCCGAGGCUCAACCUCGGAACUGCCUUUGAUACUGGCGAUCUUAGAGUCCGGGAGAGGUGAGUGGAACUCCGAGUGUAGAGGUGAAAUUCGUAGAUAUUCGGAAGAACACCAGUGGCGAAGGCGGCUCACUGGCCCGGUACUGACGCUCAGGUGCGAAAGCGUGGGGAGCAAACAGGAUUAGAUACCCUGGUAGUCC